GGAUAUCCUCUGCGUCUGGAGGAAUGAAGGUUUUUACACAAACAGAAGAGGAUUCUUUACGUGAAACGAAUGGAACAGAUGGAACAGUUGUCGGGAUCAGUUCCGUCAGGAAUAGGCUUAGAUAGGGCGCAGUGGUGAUGGGGCUUAAAAAAAAAGGCUGCAUCUGUACACACAACAGUUACAAUUCCUUCAACCAGUCAUGGAUUUGAGGCCUACUGUGGACAGUCUGGAGGAACCUGAUCCAGAGGAAUCCCAGUUAUUAGAUGUGGGAGGUACUGGGACUCCAGCCGUGUUCUCCCCAGUGUCCACUCCCACGCAGACCCCGGCUGAAGAUCCCAAACCCCAGGCAAGGGAAACUUCAAGGCCAGCGGAAGAUAGCCCGGAACCACCACACCAGCCAGAUAAGGCGAAGGAGGGGUGGCACUCAGUCUUCUUCUGGGCUAGGUACUUGGGACUUGAUAGAUGCUCAAGUCAUUGACUACCUAGCCGGGAAGAGGGCUGAAGGGCAGGAGACAAUGAUGAGGGGACUGGCUCCAUUUUUGCGUCAAGUCCCCCCAGAGAGGCAGAGCACAUGUAUGUCUUUAAUGACCCUUGUCUUGAAGAUGUAUGCCUCCCUGUAACAAGGGAACAUACAUUCUCUAAUCGACCAAGUGCGGCGCCAGGUGAUCUUUCCCUAAACUACAAAGAGCAGCAGCUACCCACCUCAGCAGCCCCCAGCCAAAGGUCAAUCUGUACAGCCACACUAUUUUCCCCUGGCCUAAGAGCCAAACCCCCCCUUUGGCCUUGAAAAUUAUCCGUCCCCUUAUACAUCAGUGGCCCCGGAUCCGGGAAAUGUUCGGCCUGGACCCUGAUAUGGACCAACA